rnacentral:rRNA from 1 species
AUACGUAGGGGGCGAGCGUUGUCCGGAAUGAUUGGGCGUAAAGGGCGCGUAGGCGGCGCGGUAAGUCUGGAGUGAAAGUCCUGCUUUCAAGGUGGGAAUUGCUUUGGAUACUGCCGCGCUUGAGUGCAGGAGAGGUAAGUGGAAUUCCCAGUGUAGCGGUGAAAUGCGUAGAGAUUGGGAGGAACACCAGUGGCGAAGGCGACUUACUGGACUGUAACUGACGCUGAGGCGCGAAAGUGUGGGGAGCAAACAGGAUUAGAUACCCUGGUAGUCCACACUGUAAACGAUGAAUGCUAGGUGUAGGGGGUAUCGACCCCUUCUGUGCCGCAGUCAACACAAUAAGCAUUCCGCCUGGGGAGUACGGCCUCAAGGUUGAAACUCAAAUGAAUUGACGGGG